rnacentral:rRNA from 1 species
UACGAAGGGGACUAGCGUUGUUCGGAAUCACUGGGCGUAAAGCGCACGUAGGCGGAUUUGUAAGUCAGGGGUGAAAUCCCGGGGCUCAACCUCGGAACUGCCUUUGAUACUGCGAAUCUUGAGUCCGAUAGAGGUGGGUGGAAUUCCUAGUGUAGAGGUGAAAUUCGUAGAUAUUCGCAGGAACACCAGUGGCGAAGGCGGCUCACUGGUCCGAGUACUGACGCUGGAGGUGCGAAAGCGUGGGGAGCAAACAGGG